rnacentral:RNase_P_RNA from 1 species
AUUGCAAGCCGUUCUAUCGCCGUGAUGCAAAUCAAGGAGGAAAGUCCGGGCAACACAGAGCAUUCUGCUUCCUAACAGGAAGGCGCCAUAAAUUGGUGACGGAAAGUGCCACAGAAAAUAUACUUCCCGCUCAGGUGGGUAAAGGUGAAAACGUGAGGUAAGAGCUCACGGCAUCACAUGGUGACAUGAGGUGCGGUAAACCCCAGGAGUUGAAAGACCAAAUAGGUUCCGGAAGCGAAGCUGCUCGUUUCCUUAUGCCGCAAAUGCGGCAUUUUCCGGAAUGGGUAGGUCGUUAGAUCACGCGAGUAAUUACGUGGCUAGAUAAAUGAUAGAAUUCCCGAGUUUUCGGGAAACAGAACCCGGCUUACAGGCUUGCUUUUUAU